AGGUCCCACCUGCCCAGUGAAAAUUUUUUAACGGCCGCGGUAUUCUAACCGUGCAAAGGUAGCGUAAUCACUUGCCCCUUAAAUGAGGGCUAGUAUGAACGGUUUAAUGAGGGCAUAACUGUCUCCUGUGGCCUAUCAAUGAAAUUGAUAACUCAGUACAAACGCUGAGAUAUUUUCAUAAGACGAGAAGACCCUGUGGAACUUCAAAUUACUGCUGGCGAACCAUAAACACAAAACAGCCUACCCAGCAUAAAUUUUAAGUUGGGGCAACUACGGAGUAAAAUAGAACCUCCACGAAAUAUGAUUAACAAUCAUUCCUAGGCACACAUGCCGCCUAACAACAAAUUUGAUCCAGUACUACUGAUACCCGGACCAAGCUACCCCAGGGAUAACAGCGCAAUCCCCUUCAAGAGUCCAUAUCGCCAAGGGGGUUUACGACCUCGAUGUUGGAUCAGGACACCCAGG
rnacentral:rRNA from 1 species